rnacentral:rRNA from 1 species
AUGGAGCCGACCUUGAAAUACCACCCUUUAAUGUUUGAUGUUCUAACGUUGACCCGUAAUCCGGGUUGCGGACAGUGUCUGGUGGGUAGUUUGACUGGGGCGGUCUCCUCCUAAAGAGUAACGGAGGAGCACGAAGGUUGGCUAAUCCUGGUCGGACAUCAGGAGGUUAGUGCAAUGGCAUAAGCCAGCUUGACUGCGAGCGUGACGGCGCGAGCAGGUGCGAAAGCAGGUCAUAGUGAUCCGGUGGUUCUGAAUGGAAGGGCCAUCGCUCAACGGAUAAAAGGUACUCCGGGGAUAACAGGCUGAUACCGCCCAAGAGUUCAUAUCGACGGCGGUGUUUGGCACCUCGAUGUCGGCUCAUCACAUCCUGGGGCUGAAGUAGGUCCCAAGGGUAUGGCUGUUCGCCAUUUAAAGUGGUACGCGAGCUGGGUUUAGAACGUCGUGAGACAGUUCGGUCCCUAUCUGCCGUGGGCGCUGGAGAACUGAGGGGGGCUGCUCCUAGUACGAGAGGACCGGAGUGGACGCAUCACUGGUGUUCGGGUUGUCAUGCCAAUGGCACUGCCCGGUAGCUAAAUGCGGAAGAGAUAAGUGCUGAAAGCA